UUACGUUGACCCAAAAAUCUACUUUAAUUUCAUAAUUUUCAUCAAACCUAAUAGAUUCUCAAACUAGUGCGCAAUACAGCCAGCACCUACGAGUUUCUACCAUCAAUAGAUGGUUAAGGUUGUUUUUUUGCGCAGGAACAGUAACCAUUGUCUUGCUCUCCUCACUUCCUUGCCCUGCUAAACCUUAGCAGCUAGCUACAUCUCAAUUGAAGCCUCUAUAAAGAAAACCGUGAAGAUGAUGAAGGGAAACCCCAAGAACAAGGAUAAAUUGAACAACCCCAAGUAAUCCAAAGAAUGCGAAUCAUACCUGGGGUUCUCUGUCUCUCUAUUUUCUUGAGAUCAGAUUUGAUGCAAGGUUGAUGUCGGAAAAGCCGAGGAAGCGGAGGCUUGUAUUUGUUGGAGACUCCAUUGGAAGGAACCAACGGGAUUCCCUCCUCUGUAUGCUUGCCACUGCUGUUCCUGACAAUUCUUCUAUAUAUGAGGUGAAUGGGAGUCCAAUCACAAAGCACCGUUGAAUAUUUAGGGCUCCAUUUCUAAUGGUACAAGGUCGGCCCCCUGCCGGAGCUCCGAAUGAGUUGAGGAUGACUGUAAGAGUGGAUACAUUGGACUGGACUUCCCCCAAGUGGAAAGAUGCGGAUGUGCUAAUUAUUAACUCUGGCCAUUGGUGGAACUAUUGGAAGACCACAUGAGGGGGUUCUUACUUCCAAGAAAGUGGGUAAGUAAAGAUGGAGAUGAGUUUUGAAACUGCAUAUUGAAGAUCAAUUGAAACCUUGAUCGAUUGGAUUCACACUGAAGUAAAUACGGGCAAGACUCAAGUCUUCUUUCGAUCCUUUUCUCCGGUACAUUUCAGGUCUGUCUUUAGUUUUCUUUUUUCUUGAUAUAAUUUUCUGCGUUGGUACUCUUUUUUAUCAUGGACAUUUCAAAUGUAUUUACAAGCAACUCUUUCUCGAAUAUUUAAACUGCCAGAUUCUUCCUGAAUGCUGAUACAUCUAUUUUGACUCUUUGAUUUUAGUCUCAAAUUUUUGUACAGAAUAACAUUAUCAGUGCGGUUUUCUGAUUAUGAGGGAAACCUGAAUUCUUUCCUCGCUAAACUGUGGACCAGCUCUUUUCAACUCAUGAGUUACUUGAGAUGAUUCCUUUGGUCUCAAAUACUGCAUGUGAGUGUGUUAUCUCAUAAAUUUGCUUAUGAAACAGAGGUGGUGACCGGAAGUCUCACGGUAGCUGUCAUUUGGAGAAGCUUCCUUACUUAAAAGCUCAGUGCUGGUUCACCGGACAUCCAUUUCAAAAUAUUCUUUGAUGUUUUAUCGAAACAUUCAAAUGAAUCACAAGCCAUGUACUUGCAUUUGUUGAAUGUGACAAGCAUGUCGGCACGGAGAAAGGAUGGCCACCCAUCCGUGUACUAUCUAGGAUCAAGUAUAGGUCCACCCUCCCUACACCAUCAAGACUGCAGCCAUUGGUGCCUGCCUGGUGUACCUGAUUCCUGGAAUGAGCUUCUUUAUAUGCUUCUACUCAAGCGGGGGUCUGUUGGUGCACAAAAUCUAACAGAAUCUUCUCAUGCUGCCCUGACUGCACAGGAAGUUAUCUGUUUUGACCAGCGUGAUUAAAGAACGGCAGUUCAUAGAUCAAAGGUCGCCGUUUCCUCAAACCAAUCAACAAAAUCAUCGUUUGCUGAGUUGGUUGUGAUGCGUUCGCUUCCAAUGCCAUCCACUUGAUCAAUCACAGUUUCCAUCAAAGAACGGCAGUUCAUAGAUAAAAGGUUGCUGUUUCCUCAAACCAAUCAACAAAAUCAUCAUUUGCUGAGUUGGUUGUGAUGCGUUCGCUUCCAAUGCCAUCCACUUGAUCAAUCACAGUUUCCAUCAAAGAACGGCAGUUCAUAGAUAAAAGGUUGCUGUUUCCUCAAACCAAUCAACAAAAUCAUCAUUUGCUGAGUUGGUUGUGAUGCGUUCGCUUCCAAUGCCAUCCACUUGAUCAAUCACAGUUUCCAUCGACAAUCUCGGGGAAAAUUUAAGUUAUACUGCUUUUUGAUGAAUUUUGUUCCCAGAAUGAUUGGGGACAUUUCACAGGCAUCGUGGACAAGGCAAAAUUGAUGGUUGUGAAGAGAUACACAAAGGCAUGCUUUUCCUUUUGUUAUACAAAGUGCAUUCAAUGGGACAGAAAAACCAUAGAAAGAUUCUGAUAACGCCCCUUGUACACUGUUUAUGCAAAGCAAAUACUGGAAAUUUAACAGUACGAUUUCUCCUC